ACAACAUUCGGACCGUCGGUCUAACGAGCAAUCAUACCCGCUCGAUGGAAGAUCUUCCCUUUGUCGU
rnacentral:pre_miRNA from 1 species